UACGAAGGGGGCGAGCGUUGUUCGGAAUUACUGGGCGUAAAGGGCGCGCAGGCGGCCUUAGAAGUCAGAUGUGAAAGCCCCGGGCUCAACCUGGGAAUGGCAUUUGAUACUCUGAGGCUGGAGUACGGGAGAGGAGAGUGGAAUUCCCAGUGUAGAGGUGAAAUUCGUAGAUAUUGGGAAGAACACCGGUGGCGAAGGCGGCUCUCUGGACCGUAACUGACGCUGAGACGCGAAAGCGUGGGGAGCAAACAGG
rnacentral:rRNA from 1 species